rnacentral:rRNA from 1 species
UACAGAGGUGGCAAGCGUUGUUCGGAAUUACUGGGCGUAAAGGGCGCGUAGGCGGUCUUGUAAGUCUUGUGUGAAAUCCCUCGGCUUAACUGAGGAACUGCACGAGAUACUGCAAGACUUGAGAUCGGGAGAGGGAAGCGGAAUUCCGGGUGUAGCGGUGAAAUGCGCAGAUAUCAGGAGGAACACCGGUGGCGAAGGCGGAUCUCUGGGCCUUACCUGACGCUCAGGCGCGAAAGCUAGGGGAGCGAACAGG